rnacentral:rRNA from 1 species
GAUGAACGCUGGCGGCGUGCUUAAUACAUGCAAGUCGAGCGAACAGUCGAGGCGCUUGCUCCUCUGACGUUAGCGCCGGACGGGUGAGUAACACGUGGGUACCCUACCUAUAAGACUGGGAUAACUUCGGGAAACCGGAGAUUAUACCGGACAAUAUAUUGCACCGCAAGGCUCAAUAGUGAAUGUCGGUUUUGCUUUCACGUAUAGAUGGAUCCCCGCCGCAUUAGCUAGUUGGUAAGGUACCGGCUUACCAAGGCAACGAUGCGUAGCCGACCUGAGAGCGUGAUCGCCCAGACUAGAACUGAGACACGGUACAGAGUCCUACGUGGAGCAGCAGUCGGGAAUAUGACGCAUUGGGCGAAAGCCUGGCGGAGCCACGCGGCGUGAGGCAUAGAGAACCUCGGAUCCUAAAACACUGUUAUCAGGGAAGAACAACUCUGUAAGUAACUAUGCAAGUGUUGACGGUACCUACUCAGAAGGACCCGGCUAUCUACGUG